AUGGGAUUGUUGCUCCUUGUGAUUUUCGCUGUAGCCGCUUUGGAAGGCGUCCGGUCCCAGGUGCAGCUGGUGGAGUCCGGAGGGGAUGUGAAAAAGCCCGGAGACUCUCUCCGCCUCUCCUGCAAAGCCUCCGGGUUCACCUUCAGCGGCGCCUACAUGAGCUGGGUCCGACAGGCUCCCGGGAAGGGGCUGGAGUGGUUGGCUCAGAUUAGACCCGAUGCAUCUAAUCAGUGGUACUCCCCGGCUGUUGAAGGCCGAUUCACCAUCUCCAGGGACAACUCCAACAACCUGCUGUAUCUGCAAUUGACCGGCCUGAAGCCCGAGGACACCGCCCGCUAUCACUGUGCGAGUGACACAGACCCUCUUCGCUUCACCGUGCUGGGAUUCUGCUCAGUGUCACCCUGUCAGUGA